UGGGCUGUCGCCAAAUGGUAAGGCAGCGGGCUCUGACCCCGCCAUCGUUGGUUCGAAUCCAGCCAGCCCAGCCA
rnacentral:tRNA from 1 species